ensembl:rRNA n-R5s64 nuclear encoded rRNA 5S 64
GUCUAUGGCCAUACCACCCUGAACGUGACCAAUCUCGUCUGAUCUCGGAAGCUAAGCAGGGUCGGGCCUGGUUAGUACUUGGAUGGGAUACCUCCUGGGAAUGCCAGGUGCUGUAGGCU